UUUAAGAAAAAGAUGUAAGCUAUCAUGUUCAAACUAUUUAAAGUUCUUAAAAAAUAUGUACCUUCCCCUGUUACUCAACUGUUUAAACAAGGAUGACCUAUGGAACAAUUAAUUUUACAGUUCAACUCUUGGGGAAAGUGAGUGCUGAGGGAAAACAAAGUGCAAUUAGUUUUGUCUAGUCUAUGCUGAAACACUAGGAAAGAUCCUUUAAACAAACAACGGAAACUGAAAUUAGGAGAUGAAAAUAAAGACUUUGCUACACCUGCAUUGAAACUUCAACAUCUCAAGUGAAAACUAUUGUCCUACCAGUAUUGUUAGCUGGUUCUGGUAGUUCACCUUUCUUAUUUUCAUAUUUUGAAGCCCACUACCAACAGCUCUUUCACCUGCCUGAAUACCAGCAGUACCUUCUGAAAAAAAAAUAUUCUUUGUUUUCUACUUUGCCAGCCCUGUGCAUUGAAAGAACCAAAACACUCUUCAACUUCAAAAUAUUCUUCAGAUUCACUAUCUCUGUGUAUUGCAGUUGUGACACCACACACCUAAUUAACAUCUACAAGAAUGGAAGAGGUCAACCAAUUCUUUUCCUACCCAAAUAAUAACCAUAGAACAAACCCCUUAACAUUUAGCAUGUUUUCUUCUAAGACCAGAUAACAUGACUACCAUUAAAUCUAGAAAGAUGCUUUUCAUCUGUGAAGCACCGCUGCACCAGUGCUUUGGCUAACAGCACCACAGAGGUUUACUCUACUCCACAGGACCUGUAAAGCCCACUUUGCCGAUACAGUGGUUCCAAGCAUGGAUCAAAAGGGGCACAUUUUACUACCCCAUUGUUACAAUAUUCAGCUUUUCUUAUUUCAACUUGGCAUUUCUUAACACAACAUUAUCUAAACCAAAGCCAGCUGUACUAUCGUUUGGAAAUCUUUUUAGGUACUUCAAGCUCACAGGUUUUAAAUUAGCAAAAUGAUACAAGGAUCUACCACAAUUUUGAGUUAUGUAUACCACACAAUUUCAAAUGUAGGUUUUUUUCUCCAGCCACACCACAAUUCCAGAUAGCACCCUCACCCUUCAGAAAACUACAUAUGAAUUAAGCUUAAGAACUGUAUUAAAACAAGAUUAUAAAAAAGAAA